GGUUUUAUGAUAUUAAAUAUAAAAUCUGGCCUGCUCAAUGUAUUAUAAAUAGCCGCGGUAUAUUGACUGUGCGAAGGUAGCAUAAUGAUUUGGCUAUUAAUUGUAGUCUUGAAUGAAGGGUUUGACGAGGGAAAUACUGUUUUAUUUGUAUUGAUGAAUUUAAAUAAUUAGUAAAAAUGCUAAUAUAAUGAAAAAAGACGAGAAGACCCUGUUGAGUUUUAUAUUGAUAUUUAUUAAUUAUUAGUUAGUUUUUUGAUUAUAAUAUUUGAUUGGGGCGAUUAUUUAAAUUAAACAAAAUAUAUUUUUAAGGUUGAUUUUUUGAUCCAUUAUUAGUGAUUAAUAGAAUAAAUUACCACAGGGAUAACAGCAUAAUUUAAUUGGAGAGUUCUUAUUGAUAAUUAAGUUUGUGACCUCGAUGUUGGAUUAAGAUUCCUUUUAUGUGCAGGUGUUUAAAAAGGUAGACUGUUCGUCUAUUAAAAUCUU
rnacentral:rRNA from 1 species